rnacentral:rRNA from 1 species
AGUGAUGGAGAUUGUCACUGGAUGUGCUUUCUCUCAAAAGCAAUGCUGUAAGAUGAGUUGGCGGCUGAUUAGGCUGUUGGUGAGGUAAAGGCUCACCAAACCUGAGAUCAGUAGGGGAGAUGAGAGUCUACGCCCCGAGAAGGGCACUGAGAUAAGGGCCCUAGUCCUAAGGGAUGCAGCAGGCUAGAAUCCUUUACAAUGCGCGCAAGCGUGAUAAGGGGAACCUAAGUGCUCACUUUAAGUGGGCUUUUGUUAAGUGUAAAUAUCUUAACGAAUAAGUGGUGGGUAAGACUGGUGCCAGCCGCCGCGGUAACACCAGCGCCACGAGUGGUGAUCAUAUUUAUUGGGUCUAAAGCGUCUGUAGCCGAUUUAGUAAGUCUUUUGUGAAACUGUGGGGCUCAACCCUACAACGUGCAAAGGAAACUGUUAGGUUAGGGACCGGGAGAGGUAAUGAGAACUUCUUGGGAAGCGGUAAAAUGUUUUAAUCCUUGAAGGACUACCUAUGGCGAAGGCACAUUACCAGAACGGAUUCGACGGUGAGAGACGAAAGCUAGGGGAGCGAUCAGGAUUAGAUACCCUAGUAGUCCUAGCUGUAAACGCUGCCAACUAUGUGUGGCAUGUUCUUCGUGGACAUGCCGUGCCGGAGCGAA